rnacentral:rRNA from 1 species
AAGGCCUGAUAUAAUCGAUGAGAGAGUAUGGCGAACGGAUGAGUAACACGUGAGUAACCUGCCCUUGACUCUGGGAUAAGCCUGGGAAACUGGGUCUAAUACCGGAUAUGACCUUCCAUCGCAUGGUGGUUGGUGGAAAGCUUUUGUGGUUUUGGAUGGACUCGCGGCCUAUCAGCUUGUUGGUGGGGUAAUGGCCUACCAAGGCGACGACGGGUAGCCGGCCUGAGAGGGUGACCGGCCACACUGGGACUGAGACACGGCCCAGACUCCUACGGGAGGCAGCAGUGGGGAAUAUUGCACAAUGGGCGCAAGCCUGAUGCAGCGACGCCGCGUGAGGGAUGACGGCCUUCGGGUUGUAAACCUCUUUCAGUAGGGAAGAAGCGAAAGUGACGGUACCUGCAGAAGAAGCGCCGGCUAACUACGUGCCAGCAGCCGCGGUAAUACGUAGGGCGCAAGCGUUAUCCGGAAUUAUUGGGCGUAAAGAGCUCGUAGGCGGUUUGUCGCGUCUGCCGUGAAAGUCCGGGGCUCAACUCCGGAUCUGCGGUGGGUACGGGCAGACUAGAGUGAUGUAGGGGAGACUGGAAUUCCUGGUGUAGCGGUGAAAUGCGCAGAUAUCAGGAGGAACACCGAUGGCGAAGGCAGGUCUCUGGGCAUUAACUGACGCUGAGGAGCGAAAGCAUGGGGAGCGAACAGGAUUAGAUACCCUGGUAGUCCAUGCCGUAAACGUUGGGCACUAGGUGUGGGGGACAUUCCACGUUUUCCGCGCCGUAGCUAACGCAUUAAGUGCCCCGCCUGGGGAGUACGGCCGCAAGGCUAAAACUCAAAGGAAUUGACGGGGGCCCGCACAAGCGGCGGAGCAUGCGGAUUAUUUCGAUGCAACGCGAAGAACCUUACCAAGGCUUGACAUGAACCGGUAACGCCUGGAAACAGGUGCCCCGCUUGCGGUCGGUUUACAGGUGGUGCAUGGGUUGUCGUCAGCUCGUGUCGUGAGAUGUUGGGUUAAGUCCCCGCCAACGAGCCGCAACCCUUCGUUUCAUGUUGCCAGCACU